rnacentral:rRNA from 1 species
GACGAACGCUGGCGGCGUGCCUAAUACAUGCAAGUAGAACGCACAGUUUAUACCGUAGCUUGCUACACCAUAGACUGUGAGUUGCGAACGGGUGAGUAACGCGUAGGUAACCUGCCUGGUAGCGGGGGAUAACUAUUGGAAACGAUAGCUAAUACCGCAUAAUAUUGAUUAUUGCAUGAUAAUUAAUUGAAAGGUGCAAUUGCACCACUACCAGAUGGACCUGCGUUGUAUUAGCUAGUAGGUGAGGUAACGGCUCACCUAGGCGACGAUACAUAGCCGACCUGGGAGGGUGAUCGGCCACACUGGGACUGAGACACGGCCCAGACUCCUACGGGAGGCAGCAGUAGGGAAUCUUCGGCAAUGGACGAAAGUCUGACCGAGCAACGCCGCGGGAGGGAAGAAGGUUUUCGGAUCGUAAAGCUCUGUUGUAAGAGAAGAACGGGUGUGAGAGUGGAAAGUUCACACUGUGACGGUAUCUUACCAGAAAGGGACGGCUAACUACGUG